rnacentral:rRNA from 1 species
GUGGGGAAUAUUGCACAAUGGGCGAAAGCCUGAUGCAGCAACGCCGCGUGAGGGACGACGGCCUUCGGGUUGUAAACCUCUUUUAGUAGGGAAGAAGCGAAAGUGACGGUACCUGCAGAAAAAGCACCGGCUAACUACGUGCCAGCAGCCGCGGUAAUACGUAGGGUGCAAGCGUUAUCCGGAAUUAUUGGGCGUAAAGAGCUCGUAGGCGGUCUGUCGCGUCUGCUGUGAAGACUGGAGGCUCAACCUCCAGGCUGCAGUGGGUACGGGCAGACUAGAGGGCGGUAGGGGAGAUUGGAAUUCCUGGUGUAGCGGUGGAAUGCGCAGAUAUCAGGAGGAACACCGAUGGCGAAGGCAGAUCUCUGGGCCGUAACUGACGCUGAGGAGCGAAAGCGUGGGGAGCGAACAGGAUUAGAAACCCCAGUAGUCC